rnacentral:rRNA from 1 species
UUCCGGUUGAUCCUGCCGGAGGCCAUUGCUAUCGGAGUCCGAUUUAGCCAUGCUAGUCGAGCGAGGUUAGCCCUCGCGGCGAACAGCUCAGUAACACGUGGCCAAGCUACCCUGCAGAGGGGGACAGCGUCGGGAAACUGACGGGAAUCCCCCAUACCGGUCUCACGCUGGAAUGCCGAGACCGACAAACGCUCCGGCGCUGCAGGAUGCGGCUGCGGCCGAUUAGGUAGUCGGUGGGGUAACGGCCCACCGAGCCGAUAAUUGGUACGGGGUGUGAGAGCACGAGCCCGGAGACGGAAUCUGAGACAAGAUUCCGGGCCCUACGGGGCGCAGCAGGCGCGAAACCUUUACACUGCACGAAGGUGCGAUAAGGGGACUCCGAGUGCGAGGGCAUACAGUCCUCGCUAUUGUGUACCGUAGGGUGGUACACGACCAAGAGCUGGGCAAGACCGGUGCCAGCCGCCGCGGUAAUACCGGCAGCUCGAGUGAUGGCCGAUUUUAUUGGGCCUAAAGCGUCCGUAGCUGGCCCUGCAAGUCCGUCGGGAAAUCCACUCGCCUAACGAGUGGGCGUCCGGCGGAAACUACAGGGCUUGGGACCGGAAGACUUGAGGGGUACGUCUGGGGUAGGAGUGAAAUCCUGUAAUCCUGGACGGACCGCCGAUGGCGAAAGCACCUCAAGACGACGGAUCCGACAGUGAGGGACGAAAGCUAGGGUCUCGAACCGGAUUAGAUACCCGGGUAGUCCUAGCCGUAAACGAUGUUCGCUAGAUGUGGCACAGGCUACGUGCCUGUGCUGUGUCGUAGGGAAGCCGAGAAGCGAACCGCCUGGGAAGUACGUCCGCAAGGAUGAAACUUAAAGGAAUUGGCGGGGGAGCACUACAACCGGAGGAGCCUGCGGUUUAAUUGGAUUCAACGCCGGGAAAGGGC